AUUGAACGCUGGCGGCAUGCCUUACACAUGCAAGUCGAACGGUAACGGGCCUUCGGGUGCCGACGAGUGGCGAACGGGUGAGUAAUACAUCGGAACGUGCCCGAUCGUGGGGGAUAACGAGGCGAAAGCUUUGCUAAUACCGCAUACGAUCUACGGAUGAAAGCAGGGGACCGCAAGGCCUUGCGCGGACGGAGCGGCCGAUGGCAGAUUAGGUAGUUGGUGGGAUAAAAGCUUACCAAGCCGACGAUCUGUAGCUGGUCUGAGAGGAUGAUCAGCCACACGGGGACUGCGUCAGGGCCACGACGCCGACGGGAGGCAGCAGUGGGGAAUUUUGGACAAUGGCGGCAAGCCUGACCCGUCCAUGCCGCGUGAAGGAUAAGUGCCUUCGGGUUGUAAACUGCUUUUGUACGAAACGAAAAGCAUUAUUUGAAGACAGGAGGGGCAUGGGGGUACCGUAAGAAUAAGCACGGGCCAACUACUUC
rnacentral:rRNA from 1 species